rnacentral:rRNA from 1 species
CAAGGUUAAAACUCAAAUGAAUUGACGGGGGCCCGCACAAGCGGUGGAGCAUGUGGUUUAAUUCGAUGCAACGCGAAGAACCUUACCUGGUCUUGACAUCCACGGAAGUUUUCAGAGAUGAGAAUGUGCCUUCGGGAACCGUGAGACAGGUGCUGCAUGGCUGUCGUCAGCUCGUGUUGUGAAAUGUUGGGUUAAGUCCCGCAACGAGCGCAACCCUUAUCCUUUGUUGCCAGCGGUCCGGCCGGGAACUCAAAGGAGACUGCCAGUGAUAAACUGGAGGAAGGUGGGGAUGACGUCAAGUCAUCAUGGCCCUUACGACCAGGGCUACACACGUGCUACAAU